GGUCACGAGUGUCAGCGUCAAGCCCCGGCUAGCUGACCGGCAACCCUCCUUCCGCGGUGGGGUGCCCCGGGUGAGGACCUGGCUCGUCGCGCGGUGCGACGGGCAAGCGCGGGAU
rfam:Amycolatopsis orientalis HCCB10007, complete genome.